rnacentral:rRNA from 1 species
CUAACAAGGAUUCCCUUAGUAACUGCGAGUGAAGAGGGAAAAGCUCAAAUUUAAAAUCUGGCAGUGUUUCACUGUCCGAGUUGUAACCUAGAGAAGUGUAACCUGCGCUGGACCGUGUAUAAGUCUCCUGGAAUGGAGCGUCACAGAGGGUGAGAAUCCCGUCUUUGACACGGACUACCAGUGCAUUGUGGUUGUGCUCUCAACGAGUCGAGUUGUUUGGGAAUGCAGCUCUAAAUGGGUGGUAAAUUCCAUCUAAAGCUAAAUAUUGGCGAGAGACCGAUAGCGAACAAGUACCGUGAGGGAAAGAUGAAAAGAACUUUGGAAAGAGAGUUAAACAGUAUGUGAAAUUGUUGAAAGGGAAACGUUUGAAGUCAGUCGCGUUGGUUGGGGAUCAGCCUGACAUUUGUUGGGUGUACUUCCUGGUUGACGGGCCAACAUCAGUUUUGACUGCCAGAAAAAGGCCAGAGGAAUGUGGCACCUUUGGGUGUGUUAUAGCCCUUGGUCGUAUAUGGUGGUUGGGACUGAGGAAAGCAGCGUGCCGAAAGGCCGGGUUUCGACCACGUUCACGCUGAGGAUGUUGGCAUAAUGGCUUUAAGCGACCCGUCUUGAAACACGGACCAAGGAGUCUAACAUGCAUGCGAGUGUUUGGGUGGAAAACCCUUACGCGUAAUGAAAGUGAAAGUUGAGAUCCCUGUCGCGGGGAGCAUCGACGCCCGGACCAGAACUUUUGGGACGGAUCUGCGGUAGAGCACGUAUGUUGGGACCCGAAAGAUGGUGAACUAUGCCUGAAUAGGGUGAAGCCAGAGGAAACUCUGGUGGAGGCUCGUAGCGAUUCUGACGUGCAAAUCGAUCGUCAAAUUUGGGUAUAGGGGCGAAAGACUAAUCG